CACAUAUUUUUUGACACGAAUUAAAUAAAUCAUUUAUUUAAAAGAAACAAAAAAAAAAAAGAAAUUUUACUAGAUGAAGAACUAUAUGCAAGAAGAACUAUAUGCGCAAUUAUUACUAGUGACGCUUAGGUUUAAAUAGAAGAGUAGACUAUACAACACGAAUUCGAACGAGUUUAGCCGAACUUGGACGAAUUAGAAAAAGAGAGAUAUACUACUUCUAAUUGCAAUAUUUAUUCGUUAUAAGCUCACAGUUUAACAUCGGCCACGAACACGAACAUGUAUUUUGUAGAAUCAUAAAAUUCUAUUUUUAUUUUAUUAGAAACAACGGCUAACGAAAACUCAAUCCAAAUUAUUUAAAGAAAUUUAUCUUGUAUCGGUGUGAAAUUAUUUGCUUCGUUGGAUUCAAGUUAGAUUCUUUCAACUGGUGGGGAUGACUCAAGCAAACAACGAAUGAAUACUACGUAUAUUUGCCAAGGUCCAAGGUAAUAACGUGGUCAUUUUCGAAACUCUUCGUUUAAUUAAACUGAAAGCAAAAAACAGUUGCAUUAAAACUUUCAAUAUUAUGGAUACAUUUGUUUAGAAAGCAAAUUGAAUAUCCGUUCAAUUCUUCGUUUCGCAUUCGGUAGCGCAUAGUCUUAGCUUUUACCCGAUAACAACUUCGUCCGAUAUCCAAUUUGGAUGGAUACACAGUUGCUUGGAAAGGUCACGUAUUCCGAACGACGCUGCCGCUGCGUAUUACCCGGAAUAAAAUUUGAUGGGGCUACGGUAAAGGACUGCGGAAUUUUCGAAUAUGACGAAUGGACCAGCGUGAUAGUUCCCUUGUAAUCUUUGGUACUUCCUGUUUUAUGAACUGGUCGUUCGUCAUUCCACACGAUUCUUCGACUUACGAAUAUGACGCGUUAAAAUGUAAUAUGACAAUUAUCUUGAAAAAGUAGUAUUUACUUUUGACAUUUCAUUAGGAAUACACAGUGUUCUCUAUAUAAGAUGAUCAAAUGGCACGUAAUUAUUCGAAUCUAAAUAUUUCAAAACUUGAUCUUUUUUUAUUUAAAUAUUCACCUAUCAUCUUCAAAAAAACGAAAUUCACGAAAUUCAACACGUGCAAUAUAUUCCCCAUGGAACGUGUCCUCCAGUCAAGAAUCGCAUCAGCGUUCCUAUCACAAAAAAUUGUUGGUAUAAGAGAAUAUUGAAAAAUAUAAGGAAAAAACAAAAAAACAUAUAUGGAUAUAUUAUUAAGAUAUUUUUCUUGAUAUUUUCGAGUUUUUACAUUGAAAUUUAUAAAGGAAUUAUUUAUUUUAAUUCAGUUUAUUCGAUAAUUAUACAUCACAAUAAUCAUACAAAGAAUAUAUGUCAAGAAUUACAAAAAUAAAUUGAGAAAAAAAAAAAAGAAAUUCAUUAUCGAAAAAAAUAAUCGUGAGAUCAUAAAUGAUGAUUCAGAGAUAAUAAUUCAGAGAACAUAUUAUCUUAAAGAAACUGUUAUCACGAAGACCAUGAUUGAUUGACGAGAGGAUUUCUUUAAAAUGUGUGGACGAAAAAAAAAAAA